rnacentral:rRNA from 1 species
CUGGGCGUAAAGGGAGCGUAGGCGGACAUUUAAGGUCAGGGGUGAAAUCCCGGGGCUCAACCUCGGAAUUGCCUUUGAUACUGGGUGUCUUGAGUAUGAGAGAGGNGNGUGGAACUCCUAGUGUAGAGGUGAAAUUCGNAGAUAUUCGGAAGAACACCAGUGGCGAAGGCGACACACCUGGCUCAUUACUGACGCUGAGGCUCGAAAGCGUGGGGAGCAAACAGGAUUAGAUACCCUGGUAGUCCACGCCGUAAACGAUGAUUGCUAGUUGUCGGGAUGCAUGCAUUNCGGUGACGCAGCUAACGCAUUAAGCAAUCCGCCUGGUGAGUACGGNCGCAAGAUUAA